CCCUGUGUUCGAAAGUGAUCGUUGGCUGCCUGUGUCCUGGUCAUUGAUAAUGCAGGGAGAGGAACCACUGAAAGCCUUUCCCCGUGUUUGGGGGGGGUCUAUCCUGUCCCUUCCAAACCCUGGUGCUUUCAUACA